GACGAACGCUGGCGGCGUGCCUAAUACAUGCAAGUCGAGCGGAAGUUGAAGAGCUUGCUCUUCAACUUUAGCGGCGGACGGGUGAGUAACACGUGGGCAACCUGCCCUGCAGAUCGGGAUAACUCCGGGAAACCGGUGCUAAUACCGAAUAGUUUUCGCCACCUCCUGGUGGCGUACGGAAAGACGGUUUCGGCUGUCACUGCAGGAUGGGCCCGCGGCGCAUUAGCUAGUUGGUGGGGUAACGGCCCACCAAGGCGACGAUGCGUAGCCGACCUGAGAGGGUGGUCGGCCACACUGGGACUGAGACACGGCCCAGACUCCUACGGGAGGCAGCAGUAGGGAAUCUUCCGCAAUGGACGAAAGUCUGACGGAGCAACGCCGCGUGAGUGACGAAGGUUUUCGGAUCGUAAAACUCUGUUGUGAGGGAAGAACAAGUACCAACUAACUACUGGUACCUUGACGGUACCUCACCAGAAAGCCACGGCUAACUACGUGCCAGCCGCCGCCGUAAUAC
rnacentral:rRNA from 1 species